rnacentral:rRNA from 1 species
AGCAGUGAGGGAUAUUGGUCAAUGGGCGGAAGCCUGAACCAGCCAUGCCGCGUGCAGGACGAAGGCCCUACGGGUCGUAAACUGCUUUUCCCCGGGAAGAAUGAGGCCCCCGCGGGGGCCGGUGCCGGUACCGGGGGAAUAAGGAUCGGCUAACUCCGUGCCAGCAGCCGCGGUAAUACGGAGGAUCCGAGCGUUAUCCGGAUUUACUGGGUUUAAAGGGUGCGUAGGCGGGCCCCUCAGUCGGCGGUGAAAGUCUGCGGCUCAACCGUAGGAAUGCCGUUGAUACUGGGGGUCUUGGAUGCGGUCGGGGCGGGCGGAAUGCGUGGUGUAGCGGUGAAAUGCAUAGAUAUCACGCAGAACGCCGAUAGCGAAGGCAGCUCGCCGGGCCGUGAUUGACGCUGAGGCACGAAAGCGUGGGGAUCGAACAGGAUUAGAUACCCUGGUAGUCCACGCCGUAAACGAUGAUGGCUGGGUGUUGGCGGUACACGGUCAGCGCCUGAGGGAAACCAU